rnacentral:rRNA from 1 species
AACGUAGGAGACGAGCGUUAUCCGGAUUUACUGGGCGUAAAGCGUGUGCAGGCGGUUCGGCAAGUUGGAUGUGAAAUCUCCCGGCUCAACUGGGAGGGGUCGUUCAAUACUACCGAACUUGAGGUCAUCAGAGGAAGGUGGAAUUCCCGGUGUAGUGGUGGAAUGCGUAGAUAUCGCUUGGAACGCCGAAGGUGAAAACAGGCUGCUGGGGUUGUGCCGACGCUGAGACACGAAAGCCAGGGGAGCAAACGGG